UCUCGGAAUUUUUACGGAAGCCCCCUUGCGAACGACGUAAUUCACUAUUAAAAUAUUCAAAGUACAUUGUACGAAGAGUUUUUCGGCCGACUGUAAUUCUGGGUUCACGUAAAACGGGGACAAGCCUUUAAGCAUUCCGAGUGGCCUUUGGGCGGCUUUAACCCGACGGAUACGCGCCUGAGAACUUUUAACGAGUUACCCUCGAAGGUACGGGUUUACUCUGCACAGAUUCCCUCUGAAAGGGAUUAAGACGACGGUUGACGUCUACGACAUUCGUCGAAUGAAAAUUUCCCCUGUUCGUCCGCGAGACGCAAUUAUACAAAUCGAGUUCAAGAGUUAAAGUGGAUCCGUGGAAUGGUGGACAGCACGAAAACCAAUCGGAGUGAUUGCCAUGCAACAGAAGUAAAAGAGCUAAUCGAAGCCAACGGAGAAGAAAAAGAAGAAGAAGAAGAAGAAGAAGAAGAAGAAGAAGGACAAGUAGAAG